rnacentral:lncRNA from 10 species
UGGUAGCUAACGCAGUAUAUUGAGUUGUCGGGGCUCAGUUUCACAUCAUAAUGGGAUUUCCUUUCAAAUUACAUGGAGGAGAAAUCUAGCUCCUGCUUGCUGAGUUAUUACCCCAGUCUCAAAAGGGGUGUCUUGGUCUCUUCUGCUGUUAAUUAUGUACACUCUGCAGCAGCUUAAUCUAAUUAUGACUCUCUCCAGUGAUUACAUGAUAAGACAUUCCCAGGCCCAUUUUUUUAGUUCUCUUUUUCCUAGGCUUCUCUGCCUCAACUCUCCUUCAGAAGUCGCACUCAAAAAGCUUAGUAACAAUUGGAAUCUAACUACAUUUUAACAUAACACUUACAUUCAUGCUUCUGUUCACACUGUAAAAGGUAAUCUUUGAAUGGUUUAAGCAUCUGGAUUCUAUUAUAGCGAAGUACAGCACUCAAAAUGGAAGAGACUUUUUACAUUUGUGUGGAAUUCAGGCAGUUGCCUGAGCCACCCUUGGGCCUAGUUGUUUCAAAGAGAUUUGCAGCAGGCUUAAGUCAGAAAUGAUAAAAUUGUCAAAAAAAAAAAAAAAAAACAAAAAAAAAAACACAAAAACCUUUGGAAUUCCUUUUGGAAGACAGCUAAAAAAAUAAAACCAAACCAAACCUCCAAAAGGAAAAAGGAAGAGAUUUCUGCCUGCAAAUUUUUAAUCAUACAGUUUAUUGGGUCAAAUACUGAAACUCCAAAUAGUGGCUGCUGUGCAUAUCCAAGAAGUUUCCACUUUUUUCUACUCAAAUAUAACAUUGGUUUUACAGUUCUGCAG